GCUCUACACUAACCAACUGUAGGAAAUGUCAAAUCUGACCCAAUCCAAUCCGGACUGUAGACGUACCCGUCCCCGGGACUGUGAACACACCCGUCCCUGCCCCGUUGCGACUAUCAGGCUCUAUCCACACUAACUGGUCCGUGGAGAGCAAGUCCAACUGGCAUGAGCGACACCAACGCGAAAGCACAAAGCCUGACUCCGGAGUGGCACUCGUGGGCGCUACCCAACCGAGUAUGCAGCGUAUCUCUGUCGAGCUCAAUCAGGCUCCAACUAGCCAAAGUCAAGUAAUCGACUCAAACUGGUCUAACAACCAACAG
rnacentral:lncRNA from 1 species